rnacentral:rRNA from 1 species
UACAGAGGGGGCAAGCGUUAUUCGGAAUUAUUGGGCGUAAAGGGCGCGUAGGCGGCUUGGCAAGUGGAAGGUGAAAUCCCUCGGCUUAACCGAGGAACUGCCCUCCAAACUGCUUCGCUUGAGGCCGGGAGAGGUGAGUGGAAUUCCCAGUGUAGCGGUGAAAUGCGUAGAUAUUGGGAGGAACACCAGUGGCGAAGGCGGUUCACUGGACCGGUACUGACGCUGAGGCGCGAAAGCGUGGGGAGCAAACGGG